rnacentral:rRNA from 1 species
AUUGAACGCUGGCGGCAGGCCUAACACAUGCAAGUCGAACGAGUGGCGGACGGGUGAGUAAUGUCUGGGAAACUGCCCGAUGGAGGGGGAUAACUACUGGAAACGGUAGCUAAUACCGCAUACCAUCGGAUGUGCCCAGAUGGGAUUAGCUUGUAGGUGAGGUAACGGCUCACCUAGGCGACGAUCCCUAGCUGGUCUGAGAGGAUGAGCAGGCACACUGGAACUGAGACACGGUCCAGACGCCUACGGGAGGCAGCAGUGGGGAAUAUUGCACAAUGGGCGAAAGCCUGAUGCAGCCAUGCCGCGUGUGUGAAGAAGGCCUUCGGAUUGUAAAGCACUUUCAGCGGGGAGGCGUUACCCACAGAGGAAGCAACGGCUAACUACGUGCCAGCAGCCGCGGUAAUUC